AACGCACAUUGCGCCCUUUGGUAUUCCAAAGGGCAUGCCUGUUUGAGCGUCAUUUCUCUCUCAAAUCUUCGGAUUUGGUUUUGAGUGAUACUCUUAGUCAGACUAAGCGUUUGCUUGAAAUGUAUUGGCAUGAGUGGUACUAGAUAGUGCUGAACUGUUUUCAAUGUAUUAGGUUUAUCCAACUCGUUGACCAGUAAAGUAUUUGUUUAUUACACAGGCUCGGCCUUACAACAACAAACAAAGUUUGACCUCAAAUCAGGUAGGACUACCCGCUGAACUUAA
rnacentral:misc_RNA from 1 species